GACGGGGGAUGCAAGCGUUAUCCGGAAUCACUGGGCGUAAAGCGUCUGUAGGUGGUGAUGCAAGUCACUGGUGCAAAACUCUGGCUCAACCGGAGGAAAGCCAGUGAAACUGCAUGACUAGAGUGUGGGAGAGGUAGAAGGAAUUCACUGAGUAGCGGUGAAAUGCGUAGAUACAGGGAAGAACACCGGAGGCGAAAGCGUUCUACUUGAACACAACUGACACUGAGAGACGAAAGCUAGGGGAGCGAAAGGG
rnacentral:rRNA from 1 species